UACGGAGGAUCCAAGCGUUAUCCGGAAUUACUGGGCGUAAAGAGUUGCGUAGGUGGCAUUGUAAGUUGAUAGUGAAAGCGUCCGGCUCAACCGGAUACACAUUAUCAAAACUGCAAAGCUAGAGGACAAGAGAGGUUAUUGGAAUUCCUAGUGUAGGAGUGAAAUCCGUAGAUAUUAGGAGGAACACCGAUGGCGUAGGCAGAUAACUGGCUUGUUCCUGACACUAAGGCACGAAAGCGUGGGUAGCAAACGGG
rnacentral:rRNA from 1 species